rnacentral:lncRNA from 1 species
GGGAGAACAUUCCUGCAGUGUUACAUGGGCUCUAAGUAACUGUGAUCAUUAAAAUAAGCAACUGUGAUCAUGAAAUAUUGAAACUGUGAUCAACUGCAGUGUUACAAGUGAGGAACAUUUGAUCAUGAAAUAUUAAAAUUAAGUUACAAGUGUAACAUUUGAUCAUGGAUAUCAAACAUUCCUGCAGUGUUACAAAUCUGCAGGUCCGUAUCAUACUGUGAUUAUCUUAUCAAGUCUACCUAAGCAGCUAAUGAGUCCUAAAGAGUAAGAGGCAAUUGAGAAAAAAAACUCUCAAAGAAUUAAACAUCUUGGAUCCAGCCAUAUAGAAGGACAAGCUGUUCUAUUGCAAAGCUACAUUAACCAAGUUUGUGCCAGAAGAUGGGUGGUUCUAUGC